GCUAAAAAAAACAUAUGAGCCCUGGUUUCUUUGUACAGGGACGUUAAUAGAAUAGGUAACUGCUAUGAGCCUCUCAGGAUAAAGAGGACGUUUGUACACCUAAUAGUAAGAAAUGAGCCCCUUAUUAGAUGAGGAGGACUUUGGAUGGUGAUAACAUGCUCGAUUAAAAUGACAAUUAAAGAAGUGUACACAAGCACAUUUUUGUUCAUACAGAUACAGGAAAAAACAGAGUAAAAGAUUGGAAUGAUUUGCUGACUGAUGGGUGUGGUUUCCCUCUGUGUGUGUGUGAAUAUUUAAAGUGAAUGGUCACUUGCUGAUGAUCAUGUUUAGAGGGAAGUCCUAGUUAAAAAUUGGAAAAAUCCAGGAAGCUUUUCCUCCCUCUUUCUUUCUCUUCUUACAGGCCUGAGAACAGAAAGAAAGCUAAAAAAUCUAGUUUAACUAUCCUAGUUGCGUGAAAAUUUUAAAUGAUAUACCAUGAUAAGGGGAUUGGGGUAUAAUAAAUUUAGGUAGUCUUAUGGUAGAAGAAAUCUUUAAAUAGUGGUAGUAAACGUUUUAAAUUGUAUUGAAUGAAGUGAUUGUAAUGUACUAAACAUUUGAUUUGUCUUUCGUCCCUAACUCUGAUGCAUGAGAGGGGAGAGGAGAAUGAAAGGAGUCUGACGUUGGAGCUCCCAUGAGACAGAUAAGAAGAUAAUUGGCUGUGCUGCAAACAAGAGGGGGCUUGCGGAUGAGAGGCUCACCAGGUCCUGCUCCCAUUUGACAGGCCAGUACAGUUUUGUCUACAAACUCUUCUCCGAUGUGUCUGCUGCUACUUAGUUGUACAUACACACAUUAAUAGUGGGAACACAUUUAGUUGGGUGUAUAUAUUUGUUAGUGCUAGACAAUGAGAGCAGUAGUUUUGUUGGUAAAAAGAAAGGCUUGGCAAUAGAAAUAUUGCAUAACCAGAUUUAUUAACCCAGUCUGUUAAUGUUCACUUUUAAUUCAUAGAUGAUUGAACCAAAAAAAUAGUAAUUUACUUUUUUAUCUUUGGAUUUACUGAGAAAACUGUUCUGCUCACAGCUGUGGUCAAUUUACUCAUGUUGUAUUUUAUUUGUCAUUUCAUUUUAGAGAGGAGAUGAAACCAGACCAGAUGAUAGCAGACCAGACCAGAGAGGAGCUGAGGGGGCAGCCUGCAUCACAAACUAUCUUCAAAAGAAAGGUACGUUUUUUUUUUAAAUUCCACCUUAUUUACUGGUAACUGUUACAUUAUUUUACAAGUAUCUGAAAAUUUUAAUUAACCUUCCCUUUUUUUCUCUCCAAGUUAUUUGUCUGUUAUAGAAAUGAAACAAGCCUAGACCAAACUGGAGAAGACCAGAGUGGACCAGAUGAUAGCAGACCAGACCAGAGAGGAGCUGAGGGGACAGCCUGCAUCGCAAACUAUCUUAAAAAAAAGGUACAUAUAUUUUAUUCUAACUGCUCUUAUUGGUAACUGUUUCAUUAUUCUACAAGUGUCUGAAGUUCUUUAUUAAUUUUUUUGUCUCCAAAUUUAUUUGUCUUUUAUGGAAAGGAAACAAGCCCAGACCAGACUGGAGGAGACCAGACCAGACCAGAUGAUAGCAGACCAGACCAGAGAGGAGCUGAGGGGACAGCCUGCAUCGCAAACCAUCUUUAAAAAAAAGAUACAUUAACUUUAUUCUAAUAUAUUAUUCUAAUUCAUUUCCGGAUUUAUAUUUAAAUUUAGGAUUCAAAUGUUAGUAUUUAAGGUUAAGUAAUGCUUCUACUAUUACAAUUACUUAUACUUUUACUCUGGAAUUUAUUUGUGUGUCAUAUAGUGGAGAAGACAGAAGCCAGACUAGACCAGAGACCAAGACUGGAGAACAGAGUGGAGACCAGAUGAGUCCAGACCAGAGAAGAGCUGAGGGGGCAGCCGACAUCGCAAACUGACAAAAAAAAAAAAGAUAAAUAUAUUUUAUCCUUAAUUUCAUCCCCAAUUGUUUCACUGUAAAAUUGUUUCAGUCGGAGUCUUCAGUGGUGUUAUAACUUUUCUUUUUCCUCUUAUGUGAUUUGUCUUGUACAGAGAAGACAGAAAACCAGUCCAGACCAGAUACCAGCUGAGGGGGCAGCAUACCUUACAAGCCAUCUUUAAAAAAUAACGUAAGUUUUUCCCAUGCCAUAUUUUUUUUGUUGUUUUGAUCAAAAUUACUUCACUGUAAAUAUUAUUUUAAAAUUGUCUUCACUUGUUAACUUCUUUUGUCGCCCACAUUAUUUGUCCUUUACAGAAAGGAAACAAGUCUAGACCAGACUGGAGGUGUAUAGAUGAUGUCUGAAAUCAGCGUGUUCGUUUUUGUGGUCAGUUGGACUGGAACAUGAAGCUGUGGUGGCCUCACUGUGAAGCUCUCAUCGCCUACCUGAUGACCUACAGUCACACUAAGAGACCAGAGCUGCUGGAGAGAUUCUCUCAGGUGUAUGAGUACACCUUCAGUCACGUGAGUUAUUACUGAGGGAAACGUACCCGAGGAAAAAUCUCAUGCUACACCUCUGAAGUGUUAAAUGUCAACAAACGACCGUCAUGAUGACUUGUAACUUAUGAAGCCUCACUUAAGAAGCACUGAAAUAUUCCUUUAAUGUUCAUAUUGUAGAAACAUUGGGUAGAAUAGAAAAGAAAAGAAGUUGUAGAGAAGAAAAAAGAUGUUAAAAUAGACGAAAAAGAGAUGCCAAAAAUAGAAUAGCAGAGACUAGUAAUGGGAGUGUGCUACAUAACCGUGCAAGAUUAACGAAGACAGGGCCCAUAUCUUCUUAACGGUAAGACAAUGUGUAAAUUAGUGACUAAUGUGAACGUCUAGCUCAAAAAGGAUAGUCGAAUUCGGGGCGUGGAAAGAAAAAGUGAGGAGUAAAACCCGGAGCCCAGGGUAAUUGGCAAAUAAAUGAUGAAAAGAGAUAAAGAGUAAAAGAGACAAAGUGAAAAAGAGAAAAAGGCUGAGAUGGCCCAGGAAUAGAGAAGAAAAAGGCUGAGAUGGCCGAAAAAGAGAAAAAGUUAACUUAAUGUUAGGGACGACGCGAUUGGGCAUACAAACCGGUGAGGACAGUUUAAAGAAGGAAAAAAGGCCUAUAUACUAUAGUAAGGAAACACUGAGCUCAGUGAGAAGAGGUGUGCUGAAAUUUGAGUGCGUGAGAGAAGCUUCUGGUGUGUGUGUGUGCGUGCGUGCGUGCGUGCGUGCGUGCGUGCGUGCGUGCGUGCGUGCGUGCGUGCGUGCGUGCGUGCGUGCGCGCGCGUGUGUGUGUGUGUGUGUGUACACAAAGUUGGGGAAUGAUCUAGCAUAGGUUUAAGUGAUUAACUUAUGAUAAAGUGAUAAAUGAUGUCUUAUUAAAUAUAUAAUGAUAUGAUAUAAGAAAUUACCGUAUAAGGGAAGAGAUACUGUUGCCUUUGUAGUGCUAAAAAAAACAUAUGAGCCCUGGUUUCUUUGUACAGGGACGUUAAUAGAAUAGGUAACUGCUAUGAGCCUCUCAGGAUAAAGAGGACGUUUGUACACCUAAUAGUAAGAAAUGAGCCCCUUAUUAGAUGAGGAGGACUUUGGAUGGUGAUAACAUGCUCGAUUAAAAUGACAAUUAAAGAAGUGUACACAAGCACAUUUUUGUUCAUACAGAUACAGGAAAAAACAGAGUGAAAGAUUGGAAUGAUUUGCUGACUGAUGGGUGUGGUUUCCCUCUGUGUGUGUGUGAAUAUUUAAAGUGAAUGGUCACUUGCUGAUGAUCAUGUUUAGAGGGAAGUCCUAGUUAAAAAUUGGAAAAAUCCAGGAAGCUUUUCCUCCCUCUUUCUUUCUCUUCUUACAGGCCUGAGAACAGAAAGAAAGCUAAAAAAUCUAGUUUAACUAUCCUAGUUGCGUGAAAAUUUUAAAUGAUAUACCAUGAUAAGGGGAUUGGGGUAUAAUAAAUUUAGGUAGUCUUAUGGUAGAAGAAAUCUUUAAAUAGUGGUAGUAAACGUUUUAAAUUGUAUUGAAUGAAGUGAUUGUAAUGUACUAAACAUUUGAUUUGUCUUUUGUCCCUAACUCUGAUGCAUGAGCGGGGAGAGGAGAAUGAAAGGAGUCUGACGUUGGAGCUCCCAUGAGACAGAUAAGAAGAUAAAUGGCUGUGCUGCAAACAAGAGAGGGCUUGCGGAUGAGAGGCUCACCAGGUCCUGCUCCCAUUUGACAGGCCAGUACAGUUUUG
rnacentral:lncRNA from 1 species